rnacentral:tRNA from 1 species
GAGGGUAUAGCUCAAGUGGUAGAGCACAUGCUUAGCAUGCAUGAGGUCCUGGCUCAGUACCUCCU